rnacentral:rRNA from 1 species
GAUGAACGCUAGCGGCAGGCUUAAUACAUGCAAGUCAAGGGGGUAGCAAUACAACCGGCGCACGGGUGAGUAACGCGUACACAACAUACCAUAUACUGGGGUAUAGCUUCGGGAAACUGAAGGUAAUCCCCCAUAAUAUUGCGGGAAGGCAUCUUUCUGCAAUUAAAGUUUCGACGGUAUAUGAUUGGUGUGCGUUUGAUUAGCUAGUUGGUAGGGUAACGGCCUACCAAGGCGACGAUCAAUAGCUGGCGUGAGAGCGCGACCAGCCACACUGGAACUGAGACACGGUCCAGACUCCUACGGGAGGCAGCAGUAGGGAAUAUUGGACAAUGGGCGAAAGCCUGAUCCAGCCAUGCCGCGUGAUAGAUGAA